UUUGGAAAAUCUUUAUAAAAUAUAUUGUC
rnacentral:piRNA from 1 species